AAUGACCGAAUUCUUCGGUUUUCGUGUUACUGUCUAUCUUAUAUGAAAAUUUUUUUAUUAGUAUUUUUAUUAUUGUUAGAUGAUAAAACAUGAAUAAUACUUUAUGCAUGACUUAUCUUUUUAAUUUUUUUCAUAAUUUUUUUAAAUAAAAUGAACGGUCAAAUGUUAGACACGGAAACUCAGG
rnacentral:pre_miRNA from 1 species